rnacentral:rRNA from 1 species
UACGUAGGGUGCGAGCGUUGUCCGGAAUUAUUGGGCGUAAAGAGCUCGUAGGCGGUGUGUCACGUCGGCCGUGAAAACCUGCAGCUUAACUGUGGGCGUGCGGUCGAUACGGGCAUCACUGGAGUUCGGCAGGGGAGACUGGAAUUCCUGGUGUAGCGGUGAAAUGCGCAGAUAUCAGGAGGAACACCGGUGGCGAAGGCGGAUCUCUGGGCCAUUACUGACGCUGAGGAGCGAAAGCGUGGGGGAGCGAACAGG